GAUGAACGCUGGCGGCGUGCCUAAUACAUGCAAGUCGAGCGAACUUUUGGGAGCUUGCUCCCAAAAGUUAGCGGCGGACGGGUGAGUAACACGUGGGUAACCUGCCUGUCAGACUGGGAUAACUUCGGGAAACCGGAGCUACUACCGGAUAACAUUGAAGCCCACAUGGCCUUCAAUUAAAAGUUGGCUUUUAGCUACCACUUACAGAUGGACCCGCGUCGCAUUAGCUAGUUGGUGAGGUAACGGCUCACCAAGGCGACGAUGCGUAGCCGACCUGAGGGGGUGGUUGGCCAAACUUGGAAUGAGACACGGCCCAGACUCCUACGGGGAGGAGCAGUAGGGGAACAUCCGCAAUGGACGAAAGUCUGACGGAGCAACGCCGGGGGAGCUGAGGAGGCCUUCGGGUCGGAAAGCUCUGUUGUUAGGGAAGAACAAGUAGCGUGCGAAUAGGGCGGUACCUUGACGGUACCUAACCAGAAAGCCACGGCUAACUACGUG
rnacentral:rRNA from 1 species